AGGACUUCUAAGGAGAACUGCAUGGCAUAUAUGGCAACAUACAAAAUAAAGAGAGGAAAAGAGGUUUUUUGGAAGAUAUUCUGAAGAUGAUAAUGGUUGAAAGCAAUGAGGAUGAUGGAUUUCACAGAUUAGAACUCUCCAAGCACUGCUCCAGCACAGCUCUGUACCACGGGGACAACCCUUCAGGGUGGUGCUGCUCAAGUAGCCAUAGGCAUCAGCUAACCGAGACCAUGGAGAUAGAGUAUUUCACCAUGGGACUCUCCUGGACUGCAGGGAGCUUCUGCUCUGUGUCUGGAGCACCUCCUGCCCUCCUUUUGCAGUGACCUUGCUGGUUGCAGGGCUAUUUCACAUUUCUUGCUCUUGAGCUGCUGUUGUGCAGCGUUUUUUUUCUCUUAAUUAAACCUGCUCUCCAAAACUUGCAAUCAGUGUUUCUCAUGGUUCAGCUGAGCCAGGUUCCUGCUGGAGCAGCUAGAUCUAGGUCUGCUCACAAAGAUCGACUCUGCAGCCUUGCUAUGUAAGCCCAAUGCAAUUGUUCAUCUUGUUCAGCAUCAGAAUGAGGAUAUUAGAAAUGAACUAGCUUCUCAAUUUUAUA